GUGGGGCAUAUGACGAAUAUAAGUGUUGUAAUGGGUAAUUUGCGUCUGAGAUUUACAGUGAUGCCAUUUCAUCUUAAAGAACUGAUGCCCCCC